rnacentral:rRNA from 1 species
CCCUUAGAUGUUCUGGGCCGCACGCGCGCUACACUGACUGGUGCAACAAGUGUCGCUCCUUGGCCGAUAGGCCUGGGCAAUCUUUGAACGCCAGUCGUGAUGGGGAUAGAUUCUUGCAAUUUUUGAUCUUCAACGAGGAAUUCCUAGUAAACGCGAGUCAUCAACUCGCAUUGAUUACGUCCCUGCCCUUUGUACACACCGCCCGUCGCACCUACCGAUUGAAUGGUCCGGUGAAUAAUUCGGACUGCAGCACUGCUUGGUCUCCAGGCUUUGCAGCGGAAAGUUUAGUGAACCUUAUCACUUAGAGGAAGGAGAAGUCGUAACA